rnacentral:rRNA from 1 species
AUGAACGCUGGCGGCGUGCCUAAUCCAUGCCAGUCGAGCGAACAGACGAGGAGCUUGCUCCUCUGACGUUAGCGGUGGACGGGUGAGUAACACGUGGAUAACCUACCUAUAAGACUGGGAUAACUUCGGGAAACCGGAGCUAAUACCGGAUAACAUGUUGAACCGCAUGGUUCAACAGUGAAAGACGGUCUUGCUGUCACUUAUAGAUGGAUCCGCGCCGCAUUAGCUAGUUGGUAAGGUAACGGCUUACCAAGGCAACGAUGCGUAGCCGACCUGAGAGGGUGAUCGGCCACACUGGAACUGAGACACGGUCCAGACUCCUACGGGAGGCAGCAGUAGGGAAUCUUCCGCAAUGGGCGAAAGCCUGACGGAGCAACGCCGCGUGAGUGAAGAAGGUCUUCGGAUCGUAAAACUCUGUUAUUAGGGAAGAACAAAUGUGUAAGUAACUAUGCACGUCUUGACGGUACCUAAUCAGAAAGCCACGGCUAACUACGUG